UGUACUAGUUGAUGAUGUUUGAGCGAUGGAGGGACGCAGGAGGCUAAGUUGUGCAUCCAGUUGGAAAGGGAUGUUCAAGCAACGAGUCAGUCAAUGAGUUAAAUGCUUAUUGGCGGGUUGACAAGUUGUGAUGAGGACCGAAAUUUAAGUAGGGAAGCAACCAACGUCACACUGCCGAGAAAAGCUUCUAGUGAGUCAUCAACUACCCGUACCGCAAACCGACACAGGUAGUCGAGGAGAGAAUCCUCAGGUGAGCGAGUGAACUCUCGUUAAG
rnacentral:rRNA from 1 species